UACGUAGGGCGCAAGCGUUGUCCGGAAUUAUUGGGCGUAAAGAGCUCGUAGGCGGUCUGUCGCGUCUGCUGUGAAAUCCCGAGGCUCAACCUCGGGCUUGCAGUGGGUACGGGCAGGCUAGAGUGCGGUAGGGGAGAAUGGAACUCCUGGUGUAGCGGUGGAAUGCGCAGAUAUCAGGAAGAACACCGAUGGCGAAGGCAGUUCUCUGGGCCGUAACUGACGCUGAGGAGCGAAAGCGUGGGGAGCGAACAGG
rnacentral:rRNA from 1 species